rnacentral:misc_RNA from 1 species
AUCCUCACAGAUGGCUAUCAACCUACAUCAUGCAAUAUUUUUAUUAACAUAGAUAGGGGAGACACUGCAACAUGAAGUACUCAGAAUUUUUUCUUGACUUGGACGCCAAACUAAAGCAAGGUGCCUAAACAAAGCCUAUUGUUCAUUUAUUCCCCUAGAUCAAGAAAAAUUGGCAAACUUUGCAAUUCAACCCCAAAAACUGAAAUCCAGCAAAGUAUAUUUCAGCCUUUUUUCCCUUCUCUUAAAGAGGGGUGUCAAGGCAAGUUGCAUUUAUUCAUUGUGUUUUAUACAACAUUUAGGGAGUAAAAGACACUGCAGAAAAUUUUCAUUACAUUUUGUUAAUGGCAGAUUCAGAAAUUUACAUCAAUGGGGACAAAUGGGCAAAUACAGAAGUAUAUGUAAAACACACAUACAUGCACAAAUGAUCAUUAAAAAUAUUGUUUUUUCACAGAACAAAACUAUUGCUCUUGUAUUUCUUAAUCUGGGUACAGUUCAUAUUAAGAGGUAAUCAAUGUCAUAAUUUUCUAUCUUUAAGAAGCAAAUUGAAAGAGCAUUUAUUUUUUAAUUAUCAUAAUUAUUUUCAACACUUUCCAUGGUUUGAAAUCAUUAUACGAUUUCUCUUUCUUAUAUUUGUUAAUAUCAGAACUCAGAGAUAUCUAUUUCCAUACAUAAAUCUAAACAAUCAUUAAAUGAAAUUGUUUGUAGAAAACACGAGAGAAAAUUUCAUUAAGGAUGUUGUGAUUGGUCUACAAAAGGUAAGUGGGUUAAAUUCUGUGGAUAGUUCUAUUUUAUUUUUAAACAUUAAGAUCAAAUAGUAGCCCAAACAAAGUAAGUUAGUAAUAAUUAUAAAUUUAAUGGGCAGCUUGUUUUUAUUUUAAACAUAAGUUUAUCCCAAUUUAAAGUUAACUAUUAACAGUCCAAACCAAAUACGAAGUCUAUGGACAAUAACCUAAAUUUUUAAGUGGAGGAAAAGAUAUAUUUUAACUAUAUAAUUCAAAAGGAUAGAAUCCAACCCUAAAUUUGUUAUGAUCAUGCAUCAUUGUCAGAAAAAUUGACCUAUGAGAAAAGAGACCCAUAAA